AACGAACGCUGGCGGCAUGCCUAACACAUGCAAGUCGAACGAGACCUUCGGGUCUAUUGUCGCCCGGGUGCGUAACGCGUGGGAACCUGCACUUAGGUUCGGAAUAACUCCCCGAAAGGGGUGCUAAUGCCGGAUAAUGUCUUCGGCCCAAAGAUUUAUCGCCCUUGGUUGGGCCGGCGUUGGAUUAGCUAGUUGGUAGGGUAAAAGCCUACGAAGGCGACGAUCCAUAGCUGGUCUGAGAGGAUGAUCAGCCACACUGGGACUGAGACACGGCCCAGACUCCUACGGGAGGCAGCAGUGGGUAAUAUUGGACCAUGGGCGAAAGCCUGAUCCAGCAAUGCCGGGUGAGUGAUGAAGGCCUUAGGGUUGUAAAGCUCUUUUACCCGGGAUGAUAAUGACAGUACCGGGAGAAUAAGCUCCGGCUAACUCCGUG
rnacentral:rRNA from 1 species